rnacentral:rRNA from 1 species
CGAAAGUCCUUCGGGAUGAGUCGAGUGGCGCACGGGUGAGUAACGCGUAAGUAAUCUAUCCCUGUAUCUGGAAUAACUAUGGGAAACUGUAGCUAAUACCGGGUACGUUUAUCUCUUUGCGAAUUGAUAAAGAAAGGUGGCCUCUUCUUGAAAGCUACUGUACGGGGAGGAGCUUGCGUACCAUUAGCUUGUUGGUGGGGUAAUGGCCUACCAAGGCAACGAUGGUUAGCGGGUCUGAGAGGAUGAUCCGCCACACUGGAACUGGAACACGGACCAGACUCC